GCCAGCAUAACUUCAGCAAGACAAUCCAUCCACAAAAUUUCGCAGGGUAGAAACUAAGACCAACAGAGGAAAAGAAUUUCAACACCACCACCACCAGCUUUCACAGAGCCGGAUUUUGCUUCAGCAAUGUAAAGCACUGUAUUUUUAUCUGCUGAGUUUCAAAUUGCACAAACUAGGAUUUCUCAUCAAAAGUUUCUUUUUUUUAGUUUCCAUAAGAGAAUGGUAUUCAGCGCUUCACAAUGGCCAAUGCCACUCAGAGUAAACAUUUCAGGAGAUUUGGCCAUCACCAGUUCU
rnacentral:misc_RNA from 1 species